rnacentral:tRNA from 1 species
GCGCCCGUAGCUCAGUAGGAUAGAGCGUCGGUUUCCUAAACCGAAGGCCGCAGGUUCGAAUCCUGCCGGGCGUA